CCCUUAGAUGUCCGGGGCUGCACGCGCGCUACACUGUAGAAAGCAGCGUGCUUUAAAACCUUUCCUGAAAAGGAUGGGUAACCCCAGCAAAAUUCUACGUGCUUGGGAUAGAGAUUUGCAAUUUUCUCUCUUGAACGAGGAAUUCCCAGUAAGUGCGAGUCAUCAGCUCGCGUUGAUUAUGUCCCUGCCCUUUGUACACACCGCCCGUCGCUCCUACUGAUUGGGUGAUCCGGUGAGCUGUUCGGCCAUAGCAAUGUUUCUUGAGCAGGGCAAUGGAUGUUUCGCAAACCUUGCCACUUAGAGGAAGGAGAAGUCGUAACA
rnacentral:rRNA from 1 species